UGUACAGUUUGAGGGGCCUGCAAUCUU
rnacentral:piRNA from 1 species